rnacentral:rRNA from 1 species
AGCAGUCGCCACGGGAAUACGUAGGUGGCAAGCGUUGUCCGGAAUUAUUGGGCGUAAAGGGCUCGCAGGCGGUUUCUUAAGUCUGAUGUGAAAGCCCCCGGCUCAACCGGGGAGGGUCAUUGGAAACUGGGAAACUUGAGUGCAGAAGAGGAGAGUGGAAUUCCACGUGUAGCGGUGAAAUGCGUAGAGAUGUGGAGGAACACCAGUGGCGAGGGCGACUCUCUGGUCUGUAACUGACGCUGAGGAGCGAAAGCGUGGGGAGCGAACAGGAUUAGAUACCCGUGUAGUCCCUGUCUCUUAUAA